CCUACGGGGGGCAGCAGUGAGGAAUAUUGGUCAAUGGGCGUAAGCCUGAACCAGCCAAGUCGCGUGAGGGAUGAAGGCCCUAUGGAUCGUAAACCUCUUUUAUAAGGGAGUAAAGUGCGGGACGUGUCCCGGUUUGUAUGUACCUUAUGAAUAAGCAUCGGCUAACUCCGUGCCAGCAGCCGCGGUAAUACGGAGGGUCCGAGCGUUAUCCGGAUUUAUUGGGUUUAAAGGGUGCGUAGGCGGCCUUUUAAGUCAGCUGUGAAAGUCUGUGGCUCAACCCUCGAAUUGCCGUUGAAACUGGGAGGCUGGAGUAUGUGUGAGGAAGGCGGAAUGCGUGGUGUAGCGGUGAAAUGCUUAGAUAUCACGCAGAACCCCGAUUGCGAAGGCAGCCUGCC
rnacentral:rRNA from 1 species